GACGAACGCUGGCGGCGUGCUUAACACAUGCAAGUCGAACGGAAAGGCCCUGCUUUUGUGGGGUGCUCGAGUGGCGAACGGGUGAGUAACACGUGAGUAACCUGCCCUUGACUUUGGGAUAACUUCAGGAAACUGGGGCUAAUACCGGAUAGGAGCUCCUGCUGCAUGGUGGGGGUUGGAAAGUUUCGGCGGUUGGGGAUGGACUCGCGGCUUAUCAGCUUGUUGGUGGGGUAGUGGCUUACCAAGGCUUUGACGGGUAGCCGGCCUGAGAGGGUGACCGGCCACAUUGGGACUGCGAUACGGCCCAGACUCCUACGGGAGGCAGCAGUGGGGAAUAUUGCACAAUGGGCGGAAGCCUGAUGCAGCAACGCCGCGUGCGGGAUGACGGCCUUCGGGUUGUAAACCGCUUUCGCCUGUGACGAGGCGUGAGUGACGGUAAUGGGUAAAGAAGCACCGGCUAACUACGUG
rnacentral:rRNA from 1 species